UGAGGAAUAUUGGCGAAUGGGGGCAACCCUGAACCAGCCAAGUCGCGUGAAGGAUGAAGGUCUUAUGGAUUGUAAACUUCUUUUACACGGGAAUAAAGCGGGGGACGUGUCCCUCUUUGCAUGUACCGUGUGAAUAAGGAUCGGCUAACUACGUGCCAGCAGCCGCGGUAAUACGGGGGAUCCGAGCGUUAGCCGGAUUUAUUGGGUUUAAAGGGUGCGCAGGCGGGAUGUUAAGUCGGCGGUGAAAUUUUGCAGCUCAACUGUAAAAGUGCCUUCGAUACUGGCCGUCUUGAGUGUGGAUGAAGUAGGCGGAAUUUGUGGUGUAGCGGUGAAAUGCUUAGAUAUCACGGGGAACUCCGAUUGCGCAGGCAGCUUACUAAGCCACAACUGACGCUCAUGCACGAAGGCGUGGGGAUCAAACA
rnacentral:rRNA from 1 species